CACUAUGCCUAGCCCUAAACAUUGAUGAUAACUUACAAUUAUUAUCCGCCUGGGAACUACGAGCACCAGCUUAAAACCCAAAGGACUUGGCGGUGCUUUAGACCCACCUAGAGGAGCCUGUUCUAGAACCGAUAACCCCCGUUCAACCUCACCCUUCCUUGUUCCUCCCGCCUAUAUACCACCGUCGUCAGCUUACCCUGUGAAGGGCUAAUAGUAAGCAAAACUGGCAAAGCCCAAAACGUCAGGUCGAGGUGUAGCGCAUGGAAGGGGAAGAAAUGGGCUACAUUCACUAACCCAGUGCACACGAAUGACACCCUGAAACACGUGUCUGAAGGAGGAUUUAGCAGUAAGUAGAAAAUAGAGUGUUCUGCUGAAACUGGCCCUGAAGCGCGCACACACCGCCCGUCACUCUCCCCGAGCUAAGACUCUCAAGUAAAUAAACAACUAUAACUGCAAAGGGGAGGCAAGUCGUAA
rnacentral:rRNA from 1 species